rnacentral:misc_RNA from 1 species
AAUUCUCAACCUUUAUCACUUUUGCUGAUAAUGGCUUGGAUAUGGGGGUCUAUUUUGCUGGCUUCUUUACGGAUGGUCAGCUCCCCUUAAAUGCAUUAGCCGGUGCCCCGCGUGGACUGUCUAUUGGUGUGAUAAUUAUCUACGCCGUGGACAUCUGCAAUCAUAUGGGUUUGCACUGCUUCCAACUGUCUGUUCAAUCAGACAAUACAUGACA